rnacentral:tRNA from 1 species
GAUUGUGGCUCUGUGGUAGAGUAUCUGCCUGUCAUGCAGAAGGUACCAAGUUCAAUCCCCAGCAUCUACA